CCCUCGUUAGUAUAGUGGUCAUAGCACCCCGUCCUGUCACAGCGGAGACCGGGUUCAAUUCCCCGAACGGGGA